ACGCCGUAAUUGCCGGCAAUUUAUUUAUGUGGGCUUUGUGUGGUUUGCCACUCGGAAGAGAAGAAUCGAACUGAAGGACCUCCAACUGAAUUAUGAUUCAUUAGGAACGCACAUGAAAAUUAGUCGGGAGCACGCAACAGCUGAGGUUAUCGCCAGUUCGUGAGGAGCCCUCGAGUGGGUGAAAGAAUCGCAGGGUAUUUAAUGGGUGUAGUUCGGCCCAGCAAGUUGAUUAAUUUAAAUUGGGUCUCUUGGUGGAAGCGGUGAGGAGACUGCAUUUGAGACUGCUCGCAUGAUUGCGACGAAUUAAGUUGUCGCAAGUGUUAAAGUCAGAGUUGUAGGUUGAAAGCUGCUUAUUUAUCGCUCGGUGCCGCCUUAAACAAGUCGGAAACGCGUUCCACUGGCAAAUACAACUUUUCAAAGAGCUAAUGAGAAGAGCCGAUUUUCCGAGGCAAACAUCGGAUGGUAAUGAAGAUUCUAAUUGCAGGAAGAAACAAGACGCUUACAACAGGUGGAAAAUUACAAAAUUUUAAUGUUAUGAGUUUCGUGCCACUGUGCCCUGGGAAAUAGUCGUACUUCAGCCGGUUGGUACUUGCUACUGGCGGCCCCUCGCCCAGUGAUGUUUGCCUUUUUGCACAUGGUUGACAUUUUCAGCAACGCCAUUUUGGCCAUGUUGGCAGAGGGCUGGCGAUGUUUUAUGGCCGAGAAAAAGGGAAAAUAUUCGGUAAGAUGGGGGAGCUAAGUGGGCCUGCACUUUUCCGAAUAAAAUGUCGCGCACUCGCUCUUUUGCGGGCCAAGCCGAUGCAGAAAAUAUGCAAAUGCAUGCAACAAUUUCCCCGGCCAGACGCCAUUUUGUGGCAUCAACUUUUGUGCGCCGACCGAACACGAGAAACCCAAAUAAAUUUAUGUCAUUGCCCGAAACAGAAAAGGAGGAAAACAGCAACAAACCAGAAGCGAAAUUGCUAAAAUUUUGAAAUUGCAUGCCAAGCGGAACUCACGAAAAUUGAGCUGAAUUUUUCCUUAUUAUUUUCGCUUUAUAUACACAGCAUUUUGAAUGUGCGCAGGAAUAUA
rnacentral:sRNA from 1 species